rnacentral:tRNA from 1 species
GCGGGGUUAGCUCAGCGGUAGAGCAGCGUCUUUACACGGCGACGGUCGGGGGUUCAAUCCCCUCACCCCGCACCA